CCACGGCAACAAGCUGCCCAGCUUUCUGCGCUAAUUCCCCAGUGAAACGACCAAUACCAGCUCCAAACUCCAAAACUGAUUUUCCUUCGUAUGAUGGGAGCAGAGAAAGCACCUCGGGACGUUCUUNNNNNNNNNNNCUUGGAGUCAAGCAUCAUUGCCUCCACCGUCAAAUUGGCAGAGUGCUCGAUCCAAUAGUUCUUCUGAACCUCACGCUCUUCAACAUGAGCAGCCAUUCU
rnacentral:misc_RNA from 1 species